AGUGAACGCUGGCGGUAGGCCUAACACAUGCAAGUCGAACGGCAGCACAGUAAGAGCUUGCUCUUACGGGUGGCGAGUGGCGGACGGGUGAGGAAUACAUCGGAAUCUACUUUUUCGUGGGGGAUAACGUAGGGAAACUUACGCUAAUACCGCAUACGACCUACGGGUGAAAGCAGGGGAUCUUCGGACCUUGCGCGAUUGAAUGAGCCGAUGUCGGAUUAGCUAGUUGGCGGGGUAAAGGCCCACCAAGGCGACGAUCCGUAGCUGGUCUGAGAGGAUGAUCAGCCACACUGGAACUGAGACACGGUCCAGACUCCUACGGGAGGCGGCAGUGGGGAAUAUUGGACAAUGGGCGCAAGCCUGAUCCAGCCAUACCGCGUGGGUGAAGAAGGCCUUCGGGUUGUAAAGCUCUUUUGUUGGGAAAGAAAAGCAGCAGGUUAAUACCCCGCUGUUCUGACGGUACCCAAAGAAUAAGCACCGGCUAACUUCGUG
rnacentral:rRNA from 1 species